rnacentral:rRNA from 1 species
GAUGAACGCUGGCGGCGUGCCUAAUACAUGCAAGUCGAGCGAACGGACGAGAAGCUUGCUUCUCUGAUGUUAGCGGCGGACGGGUGAGUAACACGUGGAUAACCUACCUAUAAGACUGGGAUAACUUCGGGAAACCGGAGCUAAUAGCGGAUAAUAUUUUGAACCGCAUGGUUCAAAAGUAAAAGACGGUCUUGCUGUCACUUAUAGAUGGAUCCGCGCUGCAUUAGCUAGUUGGUAAGGUAACGGCUUACCAAGGCAACGAUGCAUAGCCGACCUGAGAGGGUGAUCGGCCACACUGGAACUGAGACACGGUCCAGACUCCUACGGGAGGCAGCAGUAGGGAAUCUUCCGCAAUGGGCGAAAGCCUGACGGAGCAACGCCGCGUGAGUGAUGAAGGUCUUCGGAUCGUAAAACUCUGUUAUUAGGGAAGAACAUAUGUGUAAGUAACUGUGCACAUCUUGACGGUACCUAAUCAGAAAGCCACGGCUAACUACGUG